rnacentral:rRNA from 1 species
AGUGAACGCUGGCGGUAGGCCUAACACAUGCAAGUCGAACGGCAGCACAGUAAGAGCUUGCUCUUACGGGUGGCGAGUGGCGGACGGGUGAGGAAUACAUCGGAAUCUACUUGUUCGAGGGGGAUAACGUAGGGAAACUUACGCUAAUACCGCAUACGACCUACGGGUGAAAGCAGGGGAUCUUCGGACCUUGCGCGAUUGAAUGAGCCGAUGUCGGAUUAGCUAGUUGGCGGGGUAAAGGCCCACCAAGGCGACGAUCCGUAGCUGGUCUGAGAGGAUGAUCAGCCACACUGGAACUGAGACACGGUCCAGACUCCUACGGGAGGCAGCAGUGGGGAAUAUUGGACAAUGGGCGCAAGCCUGAUCCAGCCAUACCGCGUGGGUGAAGAAGGCCUUCGGGUUGUAAAGCCCUUUUGUUGGGAAAGAAAAGCAGCAGGUUAAUACCCCGCUGUUCUGACGGUACCCAAAGAAUAAGCACCGGCUAACUUCGUG